UCGCUGACGAGUGGCGGACGGGUGAGUAAUGUCUGGGAAACUGCCUGAUGGAGGGGGAUAACUACUGGAAACGGUGGCUAAUACCGCAUAACGUCUCAAGACCAAAGAGGGGGACCUUCGGGCCUCUUGCCAUCAGAUGUGCCCAGAUGGGAUUAGCUUGUUGGUGAGGUAACGGCUCACCAAGGCGACGAUCCCUAGCUGGUCUGAGAGGAUGACCAGCCACACUGGAACUGAGACACGGUCCAGACUCCUACGGGAGGCAGCAGGGGGGAAUAUUGCACAAUGGGCGCAAGCCUGAUGCAGCCAUGCCGCGUGUAUGAAGAAGGCCUUCGGGUUGUAAAGUACUUUCAGCGGGGAGGAAGGUGUUGUG
rnacentral:rRNA from 1 species